GAUGAAGAACGCAGCGAAAUGCGAUAAGUAAUGUGAAUUGCAGAAUUCAGUGAAUCAUCGAAUCUUUGAACGCACAUUGCGCCCCCCAGUAUUCUGGCGGGCAUGCCUGUUCGAGCGUCAUUUCAACCAUCAAGCCCUGCUUGUGUUGGGGUCCUGCGGCUGCCCGCAGGCCCUGAAAACCAGUGGCGGGCUCGCUAGUCACACCGAGCGCAGUAGCACAUCUCGCUCAGGGCGUGCGGCGGGCUCCAGCCGUUAAAGCACCCACCUUUCGCGAGGUUGACCUCGGAUCAGGUAGGAAUACCCGCUGAACUUAAGCAUAUCAAUAAGCGGAGGA
rnacentral:misc_RNA from 1 species